rnacentral:rRNA from 1 species
GAUAAACGCUGGCGGCGCACAUAAGACAUGCAAGUCGAACGGACUUAACCAUUAGUUUACUAUUGGAGCGGUUAGUGGCGGACUGGUGAGUAACGCGUAAGCAAUCUGCCUAUCAGAGGGGAAUAACAGUGAGAAAUCACUGCUAAUACCGCAUAUGCCAUAAUUACCACAUGGUAAUAGUGGGAAAGGAGCAAUCCGCUAAUAGAUGAGCUUGCGUCUGAUUAGUUAGUUGGUGGGGUAACGGCCUACCAAGACGACGAUCAGUAGCCGGACUGAGAGGUUGAACGGCCACAUUGGGACUGAGAUACGGCCCAG